rnacentral:rRNA from 1 species
AGUGAACGCUGGCGGUAGGCCUAACACAUGCAAGUCGAACGGCAGCACAGUAAGAGCUUGCUCUUACGGGUGGCGAGUGGCGGACGGGUGAGGAAUACAUCGGAAUCUACUUUUUCGUGGGGGAUAACGUAGGGAAACUUACGCUAAUACCGCAUACGACCUACGGGUGAAAGCAGGGGAUCUUCGGACCUUGCGCGAUUGAAUGAGCCGAUGUCGGAUUAGCUAGUUGGCGGGGUAAAGGCCCACCAAGGCGACGAUCCGUAGCUGGUCUGAGAGGAUGAUCAGCCGCACUGGAACUGAGACACGGUCCAGGCUCCUACGGGAGGCAGCAGUGGGGAAUAGUGGACAAUGGGCGCAAGCCUGAUCCAGCCAUACCGCGUGGGUGAAGAAGGCCUUCGGGUUGUAAAGCCCUUUUGUUGGGAAAGAAAAGCAGCAGGUUAAUACCCCGCUGUUCUGACGGUACCCAAAGAAUAAGCACCGGCUAACUUCGUG